UACAGAGGUCUCGAGCGUUGUUCGGAUUCAUUGGGCGUAAAGGGUGCGUAGGCGGCGCGGUAAGUCGGGUGUGAAAUCUCGGAGCUUAACUCCGAAACUGCAUUCGAUACUGCCGUGCUUGAGGACUGGAGAGGAGACUGGAAUUUACGGUGUAGCGGUGAAAUGCGUAGAUAUCGUAAGGAAGACCAGUGGCGAAGGCGGGUCUCUGGGCCGAAAUUGACGCUGAGGAGCGAAAGCGUGGGGAGCAAACAGG
rnacentral:rRNA from 1 species